rnacentral:rRNA from 1 species
GAUGAACGCUGGCGGCGUGCCUAAUACAUGCAAGUCGAGCGAACAGACGAGGAGCUUGCUCCUCUGACGUUAGCGGCGGACGGGUGAGUCACACGUGGAUAACCUACCUAUAAGACUGGGAUAACUUCGGGAAACCGGAUCUAAUACCGGAUAAUAUAUUGAACCGCAUGGUUCAAUAGUGAAAAACGGUUUUGCUGUCACUUCUAGAUGUUUCCCGGCCGCAUUAGCUAGUUGGUAAGGUAACGGCUUACCAAGGCAACGAUGCGUAGCCGACCUGAGAGGGUGAUCGGCCACACUGGAACUGAGACACGGUCCAGACUCCUACGGGAGGCAGCAGUGGGGAAUCUUCCGCAAUGGGCGAAAGCUUGACGGAGCAACGCCGCGUGAGUGAUGAAGGUCUUCGGAUCGUAAAACUCUGUUAUUAGGGAAGAACAAAUGUGUAAGUAACUAUGCACGUCUUGACGGUACCUAAUCAGAAAGCCACGGCUAACUACGUG